GCUCAGAACGAACGCUGGCGGCAGGCUUAACACAUGCAAGUCGAGCGCCCCGCAAGGGGAGCGGCAGACGGGUGAGUAACGCGUGGGAAUCUACCCUUGACUACGGAAUAACGCAGGGAAACUUGUGCUAAUACCGUAUGUGUCCUUCGGGAGAAAGAUUUAUCGGUCAAGGAUGAGCCCGCGUUGGAUUAGCUAGUUGGUGGGGUAAAGGCCUACCAAGGCGACGAUCCAUAGCUGGUCUGAGAGGAUGAUCAGCCACAUUGGGACUGAGACACGGCCCAAACUCCUACGGGAGGCAGCWGUGGGGAAUAUUGGACKAAUGGGCGCAAGCCUGAUCCAGCCAUGCCGCGUGAGUGAUGAAGGCCCUAGGGUUGUAAAGCUCUUUCACCGGAGAAGAUAAU
rnacentral:rRNA from 1 species